UAAUAUGGGGAUCUGCCCGAUAGAGGGGGAUAACUACUGGAAACGGUGGCUAAUACCGCAUAAUGUCUACGGACCAAAGCAGGGGCUCUUCGGACCUUGCACUAUCGGAUGAACCCAUAUGGGAUUAGCUAGUAGGUGGGGUAAAGGCUCACCUAGGCGACGAUCUCUAGCUGAUCUGAGAGGAUGAUCAGCCACACUGGGACUGAGACACGGCCCAG
rnacentral:rRNA from 1 species